UACAGAGGGGGCAAGCGUUGUCCGGAUUUACUGGGCGUACAGCGCGCGCAGGCGGCCAGGUAUGUGACCGGUGACAUCCUCGGGCUCAACCCGAGGCGGCCCGGUUAGACAGCCUGGCUGGAGGCAGGGAGAGGGAUGUGGAAUACCCGGUGGAGCGGUGAAAUGCGUAGAGAUCGGGUGGAACACCAGCGGCGAAGGCGGCAUCCUGGCCCUGUACUGACGCUGAGGCGCGAUAGCGUGGGGGAGCAAACGGGAUUAGAA
rnacentral:rRNA from 1 species